AAAAUAUAGUUUCUAAAGUUAUUGCAAAUUAGUUCCUGCUGCUUGGUAAAAUACCAUAUUUAAACUUAAUUACAACUGCCUUCCUGCAAUGAAGGGCCAACUUUUUCAAAUAAUGUGUUACAGCCCAGUGACUCUAGGGAGUCUAUGGUCCCAUUGCUGCAAAUGAGCAGAUCGGUGAAAACAAAAACAUAUUAAGAAGUCCACAUUUCUAACAAACACCUUGCAAAGAAUAAAAUGGUAAUUUAAGGAAUAUGUCCACUUAAUAUACAUUUCAUGUAUAUAGGACACAUAAUACAAUAAAUACCCUUUUUACUACCCCCAAUUUAAGAAGUAGACUAGUAUAAUAGAAGGCAUAUCUCCUUGGUACUCAGUAUUUCUAAAAGGCAGUAAUGGCUGUCUCCUCUAAGCACCUGAGAUGAUAUGCCUCUGUGCACUCUAGCCUUAGAAAUAUGCUUAUCUCCUGCAGGCAGAGCAUGCUGGAAGUGCCAGGGAGUUAAGGUUACCAGGAACAGCCCUCAACUAAUUCAGGUAGGAACACUGAUAUUCUAUGAAGCAAGGGCAUUCUGUAUUGAAUAUUGCAACUCAAGGACCAAUUCAAGGUUCCUUCUUGGGAACUUUUAUAGAGAGACACAGACCAUAAAAGAAGGGUACAGAAAUUAAGAUGUUGAGAGAAACAAUACUACCAUGCCAGUUUACAUGCAAAGAGCUACUUCUGUCUUUUGGUUCAGAUGGGAACUAUGGGAAUGAAAGCUGCUAGUGUUUUGUGGAAUCUUUUCCAGAAUAUUUUUAUUGUUUUUCUCCUAUGCUGAUUAUGAAAUCAAUAUAGGCUUAUCUCAGAAAAAUCAGAAUAUGUAGAAAAGCAAAAACAACUCCAACAAAAUCACAAAAAAUUUUCUCCAUUCAGAGAUAGCCAUUAUUAGCAACUUGUCUAUCCAAUCAUAUCCUUUUUUUAAUUAAAAAAGUUCUAUAUAAUAGGAUUUUGUAAUCUGUUUUUUUCACUAAAUACUGUCAUCUCAAUAGAGCUUAUUUUUACAUGAUUUUGAAAUAUGCCUGCAGAAUUAUCUUCUGGUAACUUCAUUGAAAAGGCCUCUUUAGGCAUGAAAUCACCUGCCAGCUGUGCUGAGGACAGGCUUCACAGAGCUCCUGGAGGCUAAUUAAGGUGCAGAGUUCAGAGCAGAAAGAUGCUUCACUAUACCUGUGGCAGGAUGGCCACCAGGGCCUGUUCCCUGGCCAGAGUAAGCACUCUUUCCCUAGGGAUUUGGAACAGCCCCAUUCUCACCUGGUGUUUACCCCAGGUUUUGAAGAGAUUCCAAACUAGAGCAGCAAGCAAAGUCUAGAGCUGACUGGGGAACCAGCCCUACCCUGGAUAUUGGCCUCUGAUGAAAGCACCACUAAACCUCACCUUCUCUCCUAAAUCUCUUCAGAAAUGCUUACUCUCUGUGAUAGACAUGGAACAGAUUGUUUUGCCUCAGGGAUUUAUUGAUUGAUUUUGCCAAAGUCUUUCCCAAGGCUCCUUUCAAAACUGGACUGAUCCCUUGGUUCUGGGAAUGAGUGGUGAACAUCAGACCUCUGGAAUGGUGGCUGGUCAAUGUCUUUGCCCUCUCAAGUUGCUCUUGAAUGUUGAUUCAACUCAUUAGGACAUACUUGGAUGAUGAAUUAGAAGGAGCAUCUUUGCCCUCUACUUACAGAUCCUAGGAACAAUUUGUGGAAUUAUCAGUAAGCAAUAUCUGUAACGCCCCUGUGGAAAUUCAAUCCGAAACCCUUCAUGUUUUUGCUUCUCUCUUCUCUACAUGGAUGGAAUAUGUUAUACUUUUUUGAGCUGAAAAAUCUAAAUAAUUAGAAAAAGACAAAGUUGUAAUGAGUUUUCUGUUUAAACUUAUAGGACCCUUUCUAAUAAAAGUGUUAUUGUAAUCAUUGAAUCGUUAGUUAACUGCUUUGUAUGGUUAUGUCUUGUCUCUCUUUAAUCCAGGGACUGCAAGCAACUAGGCAAAAAACUAACAAAAAAACCAAUGUUUUAUAAGAGUGGUUCUCAAACUUUAAAGUGCUGAUUAAAGCACAGAUUGCCCAGGCCUCACCCUCAGUAGAUGGGUAUGGGGCCCAAGAACUUUCAACAGGAGAUGCUGCUGCUGCAGCUUGUCUAAGAACUACACUUGGAAAAUUACUAAUUUGUGUAAUAAAUACCUGACCAUUUGGAAUCCUUAGAGGAUGGAAAUAUUUUGUAAUGCUGUGUGCAAGAUUUGAUAUAGAAAAACUUGGGUUCAAGUGGCAAUUCAGCAGAUUACAAGAGGUGAAACAACUGAGUUUCUGAGACUCAGUUUUAUUAUCUGAAAGUCAGGAAUGAAAAUAAUGCCUAUGUGGCAGAACUGCUAUAAAGAUCAGACAAGGUCGUGUAUGGGAAAGGCCUUGGUAAAUGGAAAAGCACAAUCUAAGUGUAACUUAUUCUAGAUGUGUUUUCAAUAGGCAAGUUUUAUAUACCUAAGACUAAAAGCUUGCAUUUUAAUCCCUGGGAUUGAAAUCUUUGAUUUGAUUUAAAAAUGUGUUAUAUGUGAUACAUUUAUAACGGAAUAUUUUUUGCUAAAAAGAAAUGAGCUACCAAGCUAUAAAAAGAUAUAGAGGAACCUUGGAUGCAUUUUUCUAAGUUAAAGAAGCCAAUCUGAAAAGGCUAUAAAACUGUAUGAUUUCCACCAUAUGACACUCUGGAAAAGGCAAAACUAUGGAGAUAUUAAAAAGAUCAGUGGUUGUCAGGGGUUAAAGGGGAGGAAGGGAUAAAUAGGCAGAGCACAGAUGUUUAGGGCAGUGAAUUAUUCUGUAUGAUUCAUAUUGGUGGAUCCAUGGUCAUUAUACAUUUGUCAAAACUCAUAGAGUGUGCAACAUCAAGAGUGAACUCUAAUGUAAACUAUGGACUAUGGGUGAUAAUGAUGUGUCAACAUAGGUACAUUAAUUAUAACAAAUAUACCACUCUGGUGCCCAGUGUUAAUACUGGGGGAACUGAUGUGUGUAGAGGACAAUGGUAUAUGGGAACUUUCUGUAAUUUUGGGAACUGAAAACUGCUCUUAAAAGAAUAAAGUGUAUUAAAAAGGAUCACACCAAAAAAUGAAUUGCAAAAUUCAUGACCUCAUGUGAAAGAUAGUGACUGUGGUAGAUAGAAUAAUGGCCCCUAAAGAUGACCACAGUUAGAUCUUGGGACAGCCCACAUACCUAGACAAACUUAGGCUUUCCAGCUUGCACUGGACCAGGGUGGAAAG
rnacentral:lncRNA from 10 species